rnacentral:lncRNA from 1 species
ACUCAGUUUAUAUAUUUUAAGCUAUUUUUGACAAAUCGGACAUGCACCAAUGAGUGCUUCGAAAAAGUAAACCGGAUGACGUCGGUCAGUUUGACUACAUCUUUCGAGAGGAUCCACGUCCGCGGAGAAAACCCAUAAAUCGCUGUUUUCUCUGAACUGGGAGAACUUUAAGACACAAUAACGUUGUAAUGACGAACAUCCGUCCAAAGUUGGAAUACUGAAUAGACAGCAAAGUCCUUGGGUAACUCAACUCGUAUAGAGGUAGCAAGAAUGAGUCAUUCCAUGGCGUGUAUAACAAUAUGAAAAACAGAUUGUUCUAGCCAAUAGGACCGCGGCCGCCCCGCAGAUUCAACUCGUCACUCUUACACCGCACCCUCCCACAGCCCAUUCUGGCUCCUACCGCCGCGUUUCCACUCUCCGUCGUUGCUUUAUACCGAAGUAGCGGGAAAGGCCGCCGAGCUGCUGUGCGUUUGAUGCAAUCGAUCAUAUGUGCAGCCAAAAGUCGCCUCACAUCGUACUAUAACCACAGGAGCGGCCCAUACUCUAUUGAAGAACAGCGGCGCGUCAGGAGAUGGAAAGAAGCAGAACGGAAGAGGGUAAAAGUCAACAGUUUGAACUUACAACAUCAGACAUCCAGAAACACAUCAGUUGCCGCUAUCUUACAUCGAGCGCUACGCUGACGUUUUCGUUGAAGUCUAGCGCGCCUGGUGGCGGACAAUUCAAGCAAACACGUUGGCGGCUAAAAACCAGCACACCGACAGUCAAUUGAACAGUGAAGUGACAAAUACCUAGCAGAACAAAUUAUCUCCAAUAGCUAGUUAGCUCGAUUGGGGAAAUCUAGCAUUAGUUGCGUACGGUAAUAACAGCAACAGCAGUAGCUGGAGACUGUUCAUUCUGCAUUGACAAGCACAGCAAUAACCAUAAACGCUGAUGAAGCAUCCAUGUCGAUGGCGAACUCGGUAAGCUGGAAGAGGCUUCAGAUGAAGUUCGGCAGAUUCUCGAAACAGUUAGUAGUAGGCUACGUGGGACGAGUUCGAUGUCUAUCCAAUAUAUAUCCAGCAACCUUCAAGCUUAAUCCUUUAAAGUAGAAGAAAAAAGGACACGUAGCAGGAAUCAGGUUGAGGCUUGAGCUGAGCAUCUGAUGUGCACGUGAGAAAGUUGCUUCCAGCGACGUGGGUUCUUCAUCAUCAAAACGUCACGAACCAUCCAAAGCUCAGUUUUCGUUUUUAAGCUGAGCUUUUUUGACACUUGCUGCCCGCUGCGUCGUAUAGUACUUGUAACGUCAUUGUAUUGCACAUGCUAAUAAUACCUUUUCGAAAUAUAAUGUUGGAGCACUGCAGCAGUUACGAGAUGUCACCUGCAAAAUCGUACAGUACCCUUGUAGAAUACACACGGUACUUUGUUUGGGAAUACAAAUGGUUGACCAGUGAAGGUGGCUAGCUAGGUCACAAGUUGCGCGAUCGCUACCGUUUCAACUGUGGUAAUCCGUUAACAACAGAAGGCGAGACACUGCUACCAAAAUAGCAUCAAAAUCAGAUCGCGGCCGUGGAUGCACGCGCAGUGGAAAUCAUCCACUGAUAUGUCGACAGGACCAAUCUGAGGCACGAGACUUGCGUCAGAUCGGCAAUCAUACGAAGCCGUGCUGCAACCGGUUCAUCACAAGCACAAGCGGCGGCCUAUAGGAAGGGUUCCGUGCUGUGGCACUUUUAAGGAAAAAUCAAAUUGGACAAGGCAAUCAAGCCAAUGUGAAUCCUAUUCAUACAUCAGAAAAAAACUCAGUGGACCAUAAGGACAUUAGGCACACAAGUCACCGAUUUUGUCUGUAAUUUGCCAUAGAUGCAGCAAGGCAUAAUUAAAGAAAUAAAUGUGAAAGUUGCAGAUGACGAUUCCAUCCAUGCCCGGACUCAUAAAUCCUUACAGGACGAUACUGUGACCCUCUAGGGCAUACAGGAAGGAAAAAGCUCGAUUACGCUGUCGUAUAUUUUCCCUAACUCAUGAAGGCAAAAUUCAACUAAGAACGAGUUUUCAAUUUAAGUCUGAAUCGGUAUUACCCAUAUCCUGCGAUUAAACUAAACGAAACUUGUAUCAUAAUGCAUUAUACAUUUUUAAUGUGAUAUUAAAGGUAAAUGUCCAAAAACUGAAAACGUGAUUUCUUACCUUUAGCUUUAUAACGUGUACCUACGACUAUGAUGAUUCUUGAGUUAUG